ACACACACACACACACACACACACACACACACACUAUUUGGCAUUUACAGAACAGCAAACAACUUAAAACAAACAGUGUGUGUGUGUGUGUGUGUGUGUGUGUGUGUGU